rnacentral:rRNA from 1 species
GAUGAACGCUGGCGGCGUGCCUAAUACAUGCAAGUCGAGCGAACAGACGAGGAGCUUGCUCCUCUGACGUUAGCGGCGGACGGGUGAGUAACACGUGGAUAACCUACCUAUAAGACUGGGAUAACUUCGGGAAACCGGAGCUAAUACCGGAUAAUAUAUUGAACCGCAUGGUUCAAUAGUGAAAGACGGUUUUGCUGUCACUUAUAGAUGGAUCCGCGCCGCAUUAGCUAGUUGGUAAGGUAACGGCUUACCAAGGCAACGAUGCGUAGCCGACCUGAGAGGGUGAUCGGCCACACUGGAACUGAGACACGGUCCAGACUCCUACGGGAGGCAGCAGUAGGGAAUCUUCCGCAAUGGGCGAAAGCUUGAAGGAGCAACGCCGCGUGAGUGAUGAAGGUCUUCGGAUCGUAAAACUCUGUUAUUAGGGAAGAACAAAUGUGUAAGUAACUAUGCACGUCUUGACGGUACCUAAUCAGAAAGCCACGGCUAACUACGUGC